rnacentral:lncRNA from 1 species
CUGAAUUUUCCCUUCAGAAAAUGUAGGAAGGAUCGAUGAAUCGCCAAUUUUUAUUGCCCCAAGCAACUCACUUGGGGCGUUCUCUUCAUUUUAAAGGGCCUCAGAGCCAUCUGUAACCACAUGAUUUUUUCCCUAUGUGAAUUACUCUUACAGAAUCCAAAGAAAAUAGAUUUACUUUAUUAUUUGUCAUUUUUAGGAGUUUUUUGUAGAAUUUUAUUUAAUGGUUUGCAUUUUGUUCAUGUUUAAAUUUUAUUUAAAUCAUGAAAAAAACCAAAAUAUCAUGCAUUGCAUUUAGGAUUUUAUUUUUAUAUUUUAGAAUUCAUCAAUAAUAUUCGCUUUAUAAAGAUUCAAAAAUAACAAAAAAAUGCUUCAUUUUUAUACUUUUUCCUUUUAUUGAUUUUUUCUCUUUUAAUUUAGGAUUAAAUAGCUUUUAUAAUUUUUAUAAUUAGACAAUUUAGAUAGUUUAGGAUUUUAAUUUUUAGGAUUUUUAAUCAAAGAAAAGAGAAUAAGGAUUCAAUUGCAAUGAAGUUUUAUAUUAAGUAAUUGGGCCGUUUAAAGUCAUAAUCAAUCCUAAAAAUUACCCAAACCCAUCUAAAACAAGCUCAAAUGCUCUUACCCGAUCCAAAACCCUUUUCCCUUUAGAAACACGCAAAUAGCGUGGUCUCUUCUCCAUUCUUCGAUCCCAGCUAUUUUACCCUAUUCUUCUUCUCCACUCCCCUAAUUUUUAUAAUUAGUUAAUUAGUUUAAUUUUACAUUUUUAGAUAACGUAAGAUUUUAAUUUUAGUAUUUUUAAUUAAAGAAAAAGAAGAAGAAAAGAUAAGCAAAGAAUUUGAAGAAAAUAUUUAAUUGGAUAUUGAGCUAGUUCUUGUAUCCAAACCAGACCCAAAUAUUUUUACCUAGCCAAAUACACUUGAACUCAUUAGCCCCAAACUCAUACCCUUUCAAUUAAAACCUAGACUUAGACCUAUAAAAAGACCUAGACCUAGAGAAUAAGAUGAGAUUUGAGACCUUACCCUGGGACCCCUUGAGCAACAACGCAUUGGGUUUUCUUUUCUAGUCUUCUUCUCUAUAUUUUCUGAAGAAUAUCAUAAUCAGAACAAACCCUCUAGGUUAGCCAUCUUCAGCAAACAAAAGCUCCCUUCUUCAAUCUCAUAAAAAAUACAAAAAAGAAAACAUUAGGAAGCUAGAUUUUUUUAAAAAAAAUCAGAAAUAAAAAUGGUCUCAAACAAAAUCAAAAGGAAGCUGGAAUUGAAGGUUUGGUUUCAAUUUUUUGGGAGUUCGGCGUCGAUUCUCCUGUUUUUGGUGAAGAAACGUUGCUUUGUUUCUGUGAUGUUCUCUUGAUUUAGAGAUUUAUUCUUUUUGGUGACUCCAAGAAAAUAUGCCGUGUACCCCCUAUUUCCAAGAAAUUUAUGAGUACUGGUACUAAAUCCUUUAGUAUUUAUAUCAUUGCAUAAUUAAAUCCAAUUUUGGACUCUUUUCCUUUCCCCCUUUCUUUGUGUUCGUUCCCCUCUUUUCUUUGCUAUUUCAUUGUUUCAAUUUCCCCACCCGUUUCCUUUUUUUCUGUUCUCGCUAUCUAUUUUAUUUUUUUCAUAUUUUUUUGUUUUUUUUGAGGAUUUUGCAGGAAAUACGCUGUGAGUUCCGUAUUCAAUUGUUAAAUCUAGCACGUCUAUUUGCUAAACUGAUUUUUAAAGAAUUCUUUCUUUGAUAAGCUUUGAAUUUUCAGUAGGUUGAAUUUAGAUAUUUGAGUUGUUGGAUGUUAAGGGAUAAUUCAUUGUUUGUUGUUGGUAAUUAGUCAUUGUUAGAAUUUUAUUUGCAAAGCCACAGAUAUAUCAUGUGAGUGGCUCAAAGAAUUGAAUGUGUUCAUUUGAAAUGUGCUAUGAAAUUGAAAUGCAUGCUUUAGCUAUGUUAAA